GAGCCAAAUUUGUGCUCAUAAAAGCUUGCUGGCAUUGAUUUACUCAUCAACAUAUCGGCGAUUGGUCGUUCGACUACCAGCAAUUCAGAGUUUCCUACAGAGCCUACAAGUAGCAUUGGUCGAUAUUUGUGAGUAAUCCAGAAACACCUAGAAUCCCCUGUUCCAUAAUUUGAAAUGCCGUUCGAAUUAGCAUUCGCCAAUUUUUUGUCAUUCAGAUUCCCGUCAACUGUUGCAUUCAUUUCAAUUUUACGUUUUCCGGCAGCGCGAGGCGCUGGUAAUUGAAGAUUAAGAUCGAAAAAUGAAACCCAGUUGGCUGACCAAAUCCAGAAUCGACUCGGAUGUUUAGAGUCGAAAAAUGCUCCGAAUGCCUUAUCUAGAAGUUGCGAAAAUUCUUUGGGCAUAUUUGUAGAAUUGUUUUUUGACCAUUCAGAUAAUUUACGGGAUUGAACAUCAAACUCAUAAACUUGAUUUCCCGCCGUAGCAACAGCUAAACGGCCUCGUACAUCUGGACGAAAAGCCAUUGCACGAACAUAAGUGUUAACUCGUGGUAACUCUGAAUAUGUUAAAUUUGACAAGGAGUAGCAGAAAAUAUUUCCAACUGUGUCCGCAACAGCAAAAUAAUCUCCAUCCGAAGAUACCGCUAUACUGCAAAUACCAUCACACAUGCUGCUUACAUUGCUUCGCUGACGAGGAGCAAUUUUCUUGCUAGUGGGUUGUGAUAACUCGAAAACUUCUAGCUGACGAGAAUCCAGUCGACUUAAUUCAAUGAGAAAUAUCUCGGAAUCGUUACUAACAAGGAUAAGCUUGUUCUUAUCUACAGUAAAACUAAGCAGGCUAGCACCAAUAUUUGAAAGGAAGGAGUCCUCAACUGUUUCAACUUUCACAUUUUCAUCGCUAUACUGUAAUUGAUAAAGCUUCGUCCUCAAAACGGAAGAAAUUGCAAUUAAUUCCCCAUCAGGAGAAAUUGCUGCAUGUGAAAUAUUUUCUUCGUCAGCCAACACAAUUUUUAAUAAAAACCUAUAGCCAGGAGACCCAAUUCUCCAGAGAAGUACUUCAUGAUCAUUCCAUAACAUAAAAAGCCUUGCUUUCGGUGCGACCGCCAUGCGAGGGCGUUGAGGAACGGCAGAUAUCAUCCUGUGAUUCUUGCGAUUAAAUUGUCGAACAGGAAUUACCGCAAGCAUCAUAUCCAUACCACCGCUAAUAAGAACAUCCAAACUUUUACAUUCAAAAACGGCCAUACAUCGAACAUCAUGAGAAUGGAACCUUCUAAAACUGUUGCUGACCCAUUCUCUUUUACCUCCUUCGCGUGAGUACUGAAUAGUUUUCCUGUCAAUCCCUGAAGAAAAUACCAUAUCUCCGUUAGCAGAAACACCCAAACACAAAGCAUCAGCCAAAUGUAGUUUGAACGAUUGGCUUAAUGUAAAGAAUUUUCCAUUCCAAAAUUUAACAGCACCUGAUGAAUCGGCACUUACGAUAGUGCCAUCCCGUAAACUUUUCACGGCCCAAAUUAAAGCAGCUUCUCCUUUUCGAGCACGAUCUACUUGCAUUCUAGAAAUUAUAGCGGAAUUUGGAGUGCUAAGAUCCCAAACUUUGAUAACACCGUCAGCGCAACCACCAACAAGAUGAUCUUUUGUUUGAAAGUCGAGCGAAAGGAUACGAGACGUUUGGCGCAUCAAAACUCGUUUAAAUUCGAUGACACCUGGGCCACCACUAAUGUCAAAUAGAACGCAACUUCCAUCAUCACAUCCAACAGCUAGAGUUUUAGUUUCAUCGCAUAUAGCGAUUGACCAAAUAGCUCCUGCAUUAGAGUCUUGGUUUACCAAUGGUUUUCCAGUAUGUAAAUUCCAUUCAGUAAUAGUAGUUGAAAAUCCUAUACUGAAUAAUCGUAGCUCCUCUUCACCGGUACUCCAAACAAUCCCUUCAAUACUGCGAUCUACACCACCGUAUAACACAGUUUUUAAGCACCAAUCGUUUCGAGGGUUCCAUAUUUCAAUGUUUCCGCUAGCACGUCCAACAGCGAGUAGUAAAUUGUUAGGCAUAGAAUCAUUCUGACCGCUUUUAUGGGAAAAUGCCAUUGCAGUAAUAGCUGA
rnacentral:lncRNA from 1 species